rnacentral:rRNA from 1 species
GACGAACGCUGGCGGCGUGCUUAACACAUGCAAGUCGAACGGAAAGGCCCUGCUUUUGUGGGGUGCUCGAGUGGCGAACGGGUGAGUAACACGUGAGUAACCUGCCCUUGACUUUGGGAUAACUUCAGGAAACUGGGGCUAAUACCGGAUAGGAGCUCCUGCUGCAUGGUGGGGGAUGGAAAGUUUCGGCGGUUGGGGAUGGACUCGCGGCUUAUCAGCUUGUUGGUGGGGUAGGGGAUUACCAAGGCUUUGACGGGUAGCCGGCCUGAGAGGGUGACCGGCGACAUUGGGACUGAGAUACGGCCCAGACUCCUACGGUAGGCAGCAGUGGGGAAUAUUGCACAAUGGGCGGAAGCCUGAUGCAGCAACGCCGCGUGCGGGAUGACGGCCUUCGGGUUGUAAACCGCUUUCGCCUGUGACGAGGCGUGAGUGACGGUAAUGGGUAAAAAAGCACCGGCUAACUACGUG